UCGUGAACUUGUUUCCGGGCUUCGGCCCGUUGACAUCCUUUACACCCAUCCAACCCAAACCUCAAAACCAAAAAUUUUGACCCAACCAACCCAUUCGACUGAACCGUAACGGCCGCUUCCCUCGGGAGGCAGCCGACGAUUUAUAUCAAAUCAUACGACUUUCAGCGGCGGAUGUCUUGGUUCCCACAACGAUGAAGAACGCAGCGAAAUGCGAUACGUAAUGCGAAUUGCAGAGUCCAGCGAGUCAUCAAAUGUUCGAACGCACCUGGCACUUCCGGGAUAUUCCUGGGAGUAUGCUUGUUGGAGUGUCUGUUGGACCAUCUCCCUCGUUCCCACUGGGCAACGAGUGGCGGAGGUUGCCGUACAUUUUGCUCCCUGAGCGGGAUGAUCGGUUAAGCACUCGAGAUAACAACCGUUGGAUUCCGACGGGCGUGGUAGCGCUGGGCUUCGGCCAAGCACACAUCCUCCCCGGCAGAAACCUCGGUUGAUCUGACAGAGGAACUGGGUGGCUUCUGCCGCCUCACUGUUCA
rnacentral:rRNA from 1 species